rfam:Methylobacterium sp. Leaf104 contig_3, whole genome shotgun sequence.
CGGGGUGUAGCGCAGUCUGGUAGCGCAUCUGGUUUGGGACCAGAGGGUCGUAGGUUCGAAUCCUAUCGCCCCGA